CACGGGUGAGUAACACGUAGGUGACCUGCCGAAUAGUGGGGGACAACUCGGAGAAAUUCGAGCUAAUACCGCAUAAGAACAAUAAAUUGAAAAUGUUUGUUGAAAGGAUGCCUCUGUAUAUGCAUUCGCUAUUUGAUGGGCCUGCGGAACAUUAGCUUGAUGGUGAGGUAACGGCUCACCUUGGCAACGAUGUUUAGCGGAUCUGAGAGGAUGAUCCGUCACACUGGAACUGAGACACGGUCCAGACUCC
rnacentral:rRNA from 1 species